rfam:Myotis davidii contig13156, whole genome shotgun sequence.
CAGGGGAAGGGGGGGUGUCCCUCAGCCCAGAUUGUGAGAGGGCUCAGGCCAGGCUGAGGGUCCCCACCAGUGCAUG